AUUUUGUAAAGAAAAAUAAAGUAGAAAUUAGUCUAACCAAUUUUAAGUAUCCAAUUUACUAUAUAGCUAUAGUAAUCAAGCCCAUGAUAUUGGCAUAUAAAUCAGUGGAAGAGAAAACAGAAUUCAGAAAUAGAUCCACAUAAAUAUGCUUAAGUGGUUUUUGACAACAGUGAACACACAAUUCAGUGGAGGAAAGAUAACCUUUUUAACAAACAGUGCUAGAGCAAAAAGUUAAUUCUUUCUUUUUUUUCCUAAAGGUAACACCUGAGAUAGGGAGGAGCUGCAGCAGCUGGCCUAUGCCACAGCCCCAGCAAUGCCAGAUCCAAGCCAUAUCUGUGACCUACACUGCAGCUUGCGGCAACACCUGAUCCUUAACUCACUGAGUGAGGCCAGGCAUCGAACUUGCAUCUUCAGGAACUCCAGCAAAAAGUUAAUUUCAAUCUAAGUUGCACAUCUUAUACAGAAGUUACCUGAAAGGCAAGUAAAACCUUUGUCAUGGACGCUUAGCACUGGUCCUCAGAAGUGGAAGCCCCGAUCUAUUUUACCCUGAGAGAAAGGCGGGGAACACUCCUUUCUCCAUUUGAUCAGUAAUCCACUGUCGGAUGGAAUGGUGGAAAGUGAAAGAGCUGAGAAAAGCAGCUGUUUCAAGGAGGACUAUUCAUCCAACAAAGCCUUAUCAAGCACCAAACACUCAUUCAGUAGACACUGACUGGGUGCCUACCAGGAGUCAGCCACCACGCUGAGGAUACAGAGGUAACAAAAUACAGUGUUUGUCAUUCAGCUCUCACUGACGCUGGGGUGAAAGACGAGUGAACAGAUACCACACUGAACGGUGAACAAGUGGAGGGAAGCAGGGGGUGCAACAGAAGCAUGUAAGAUUGGCACCUAAGUCAGGAACUACCUUCUGUGAGCUGACUUCUGAGCUGAAAUCUGAAGGUUGAGAUAGUUAGUCAAGCAACUGAUAGACAUGGAGCUCAGGUGGCAAUACGGGGUCAAAUGAGACUGGAGGGGCUAGCAGAGGCAGUUCACAAAGGGCAUUUUAUCUAUGCUGAGAAACCUAGACUUUAUCCUGCAGAUCAAAUCAGGGCAAUUUUGCUCCCUCGACUCCUGGAGACAGUUGGCAAGGUCUGGAGUCACUUUAUAGGUUGUCAGAACUGGGUGGCUGGUAUGCUAACAACAUCUAGUAAGUAGAGGCCAAACUGCUGCUAAACAUCCAUGACAGGAAGACCCCCACCCCUGCCCCCCGCCAACAUUAAAGAAUUAGCUGAUGUCAAUAGUGCUGAAGUUGAGGAACCCUGGUGUCAACAAUGGGAGCUGCUGAAGUUUUAGGGAGAAGGGAUGGGAUUCUAUUUCCAUUUUAGAGAGAUCACUCUGGCAGCACUCUGAAGAACAGGAUCACAGUCAAGAAUGGAGGCGCAAAGAUCAGUUACGAGGUUGUGCUGAGAGGAUCUGUGGUCCUAAGGAGGGGAUAAGUGAAUUUGGAUAGAACAAAGGAGGACACUGUUGACUGGCCUAGUAGAUGCCGUGACAGAAACUGACAGGAGCAGAAGCAAAACCAGCACGUUGAAGGUUAUGAUUUGAGGACGCUUGUAAGCUAAUGGGCUGGAUAAGAGUUGGAAAAUGAGGUAGGCAGGUAUGAAAACAAGGGGCCAGGAGAGGAGGAGGCCCAGCGCCCAGGUGGAAGGUGCAGCUUUGGAUGUGUAUUUAAUAAAAUAAAACAGGAGGUCAUGAUGAGGUUCACCAGGAGGAGGGAGAAAGUUGAGAAAGUUCACGUUUGUAGUACUAUUACAGGCUCUUUGAAAGCAACUCAAAAUGUCAAAGACCCUUUGAGGGCUUACAUCCCUAGGAAGGGUCAAAAGAAAAUGUGCGUCUACUCACAACAUCCCUGCUAUUUAACCUCUUUUUGGCUUUCAAGACCAGCACAAACACAUCUUUCAGGAAGACUUCUUCUCUGGCAGCCCCAGUCAGAUGGAAGUCUCUUCCCUCCCUGGAUUGACACAGCACUUUGUACCCCUCACUGCCUGCACCUGGGACAGAGGCGCUACUUCUGUAUUUUCUAUAAGGCCUUGCACUAGUGUGAGAGCAAUAAGUACCGCCAAAUGGAUGAAGAUGGUCCUAAAAUCUGAGCAACAUGCACUGUGCAUGCCAGUGCCACAUGGGCAGCACAGACAUUGAGGGCUCUAGGAACCUGAAACAGAGAUCACACUCACACUGGGGAUGAUGAUGGAGGCUGCAUAGAAGAAAUGCCACUGGAGCUAUGUCUUAAGGGUUGAAAAAAAUGGGGAAAGGGAUGGAAAAAAUAUUCCACGUGGAGGAAAUUACUAUAGCAAAGCCACUUUAAAAGUAUGUUUAAAGAACAGCAAAUUAUUCUAUUUGCUGGAGAAGGUCCCAAAACAACAACAAAAGUAAUUGAUACUAGCAUUUAUUGAGCACUCAAAUAAGCAUUUUCCCUCCUUAUCUUGUUUAAUUUUCACAACCACUAAUAAGGUAGAUAAUGGUAUUAUCCUUAUCCUACAAAUCGGGGAAUAGGCCCAGAGAGUGGCUUCCUGAGGUGACUGGUAAGAAUGGUAGAAUCUGGGAUUAAACUGGGUUCUAAGUUCAAGCUCUCUUAACCACUCUACUGUGCAGCCUCACUCAGGCAGGGGUUUUGAACAUGGGGUCCACCGAUGGGCUGUUGGAGGGCCAUGAGUCCUGUGUAACUGUAUGCACAAUUUUGAGUAUACGUACAUUUUUCUGUGGAGAGGGCCUUUCACCAAAUUUUCAAAGGGGUUUGUAACCUCAAAAUGGUUAAGAACCACGGGUUUAUGGAAUUCUGUGCUGUAAGGCUGGGCCUGAAUAUGUAGGCUCCAAGGCGGGGAAGCUUGAAUUUAUACUGAGAGUCUGAACUAGUCCCUGAAGACAACGGAAGAUACUAGAAAUACUGAACUGUGAGCCACAAAAUCAAAGAAGUAUUUUGGCAGAUUACUAACACAUGCAAAGUAAGACAAGGCUUUGUGAAUACAUGGAUGUUAGAGAAGAAGGGAGAAGAAUGAGAAGUUGACAAAGGGAUUUUUUUCUAAAGGAAAAUCAGUGAAAAAUGAGAUCUUUUGAAUCACAAGGCAUUCAAAAACAAAUGAGCUUUUCUGACGUCUCACUUCUUUUAAAAUGGAAUUCACAAGGUUGUUCACAUUAAAAUCAUAAUGUAUGUAAUAAGGUUUAAAGAACUAAAAAGUAUCGUUAUCUAUUUUGUUCAGAAUUUCUCUGCUUAUCUCAUUUUUAUAAAGAGGAAGUCCAUAAAAUGAAGGGACUAGGUGUCAAUUUAAAAAGAGAACUUUUUUUUUAAUAAGAGUUUUAAUCUGGUCCAGUUCUUCUGAUAUCAAACACCAAUCUUGACACAUGUUUGCACAUACAAGCAGCCCCUACUUUGCCAGCAGCUACCACCUGUGGCCAAUUGUAUUUUUCAAGAUGACCACAACAUAAUUUCCCGACUCAGGUACAUUGUGAUGUUGACACUCCUCCCAAUGAGAGAUGUUCUUGACCCUUGAAUGUGGAUGGGCCUGUGACUACGAUGGAAGUGAUGCCAUAUGACCUCUGAGACUAGAUCAAAAAAGACAAUAUGGCUUCCACUUGAGUCUCUUGAGACACUUGUUCUUGGAACCCAGCUACCAUGCUAUGAGGAAGGCCAAGUCACAGGGAAAAGGCCAUUUGUAGAUGGUAUGGCUGACAGUGCCAGCUGAGGUCCUAGCCAACAGACUAUAUUAGCAGCCUGACGUGUGAAUGAAGAAGGCUUCAAGAUAAUUCUCGAUGCGGCUUGUGUCUGUCUGCCUAAGAAUUGCCUAGCUGAGCCUAGUCAAUCUCCAGAACAAUGAGUGAUAAUAAUUAAAUGACUGUUGUUGUUUUGAGCCACUAAAUACGGGGGAGACUCAUGACAAACCAAUAUAUAAUAGGAACACCACCCAACUCUUUUUACUUUCUAGCUAAGUUCCUUGAAAAAAACCCACAAAACAAAAAACCUACACUAGGCAUCUGCAUUCUUACUCCUCCAUCCACUGAAAUGUCACUACUGUCCCCACUGUUCUACUGUGGUUCCUAUAGCUGCUAGCCAAUGUCAGUGAUCCCUUAACUGCCAAAUAUAAUGGCUAACUUUUCAAUCUCUAACUUACACAUGAUCUUUCUGCACCAUAUGAUACUGUAAUAUAGUCCCACUUCUUCAGUUCUUACUGGGCUUCACAAAAGUGCAGACAGGGUCUCUAGCUCAUCUACCUAUAAGUAUGCCAGAAAUAGGCAAACAAUAAAAAUAAUUACAGGUCAUGACCUAAGGGGUGAAGAUAGCAUAUUGAACAAAUACAUAUGGUUUCACUUCAUUCCAAAACCUCAGUAAAACCUCAUUUAUUUUAAGGACAUAAAGCCUCCAAAACAGAGCGGGUGGGAGAAGUGAUAGCAAGUGGUUUCUGAAUUCUAGAAAGCAUAUCAACUAUUGAAAAUUACUUGAUGAACUCAAGAAAAUCAAAGGGAAAGCCAAGAACGAUUCUUAAAAGGCUCAGGAAUUGACAGCCCCAGACAUCUCCAGAAAUGGGAGCAAAAAGAAGUGGCUAAAAUAAAGAAGACUGGUUGAAGGCUGACUGAGAAGCUACUGGAUCUCCACAACCUCCUCUCUCUGUACCCCUGGGUGAUGGCCCCUCUCCCACCGUGGCAGGUAUCUAGAGAUUUAUUCCCUGUUAAGAGGUUUUGGACUCAGGGGUGGGGAUUGUCUCCAGACCCAGGGAAAGGCAGAGAUACCAUUACUGAAAAGAAGAGCACUGAAUGAAUGAUACAUAUUAAUGUUGAAAUUUAGCCCCUAAAUUAUUCCUCCAGGAAUUCAAUUAGGCUUUUACUCUCAGAAGACUGGAGGAGUUCUCAGGGAAAAGUGACCAGCCUGAGAGGAAGAGCUUAAAGUACAGAUGUGGGAAAGGGAGUCCCAAAAUCACAGCCCAGUGGGAUCUUCUGGUAAUUAAUUUCACCAUCAACAUCAGCAACCCCCUCCCAAACUCUACUCACAACCAUAAAUUAACAACUGGAGAUGAAAAGAAGUUGGAGAACACUGCUAUGGGCUGAAUUAUGUCCCUGGAAAAUCUGUGUGUUGAAGCUCUAACUCUCAGUGUGACUGUAUUGGAGAGAGGCCCUUUGGGAGGUAAUUAAGGUUAAAUGAUGUCAUAAGGAUGUGGCCCACAUCCUAUAGGAUUAGUGUCCCUAUAAAAACAGACACCAAAGAGCUCAUUCUCUUAAGCGCACAUUGAAAGAAGAGGUCAUCUAAGCACAUGGCAAGAAAGUGGCCAUCCACAAGCCAGGAGAUGGCUUUUCUCACCAAAAACUAAAUCACCCAGCACCUCAAUCUUGGACUUCAAAGUCUCCAAAACUAUGAGAUAUAAAUUUCUGUUGUUUAAGCCACCCAUUCUGUGAUAUUUUGUCAUGGAAGUCCAAGCUGACUAUUACAGACAUCACCGACAAAACAAAAAGAAAAUAUUGCAAUUUAGAGGCAACUGAGACUAUGUAGGGAGAAAAAAACCUAUCAUUAAAGCAUUUAGACUUGUGGUUGCCAAGGGAGAGGGGGAGGGAGCAGGAUGGACUGGGAACUUGGGGUCAAUAGAUGCAGACUACUGCUUUGGA